rnacentral:rRNA from 1 species
UACGGGGGGGGGCAAGCGUUUGUUCGGAAUUACUGGGCGUAAAGGGCUCGUAGGUGGCCAACUAAGUCAGACGUGAAAUCCCUCGGCUUAACCGGGGAACUGCGUCUGAUACUGGAUGGCUUGAGAUUGGGAGAGGGAUGCGGAAUUCCAGGUGUAGCGGUGAAAUGCGUAGAUAUCUGGAGGAACAUCGGUGGCGAAGGCGGCAUCCUGGACCGGUAUUGACGCUGAGGCGCGAAAGCCAGGGGAGCAAACGGG